rnacentral:sRNA from 1 species
CUCUAUCAUUGUCCUCUCCAAAACCCAUUCUUCUCUCUAGAUUUCCCCUCCAUUGAGUCACUGGAUUCCCAUUCCGCAGACGUCUAGGCGAUCUUUGCAUCAAGGGCUCCAAUUUUCACCGAUUGCAUUUGCGAUUUCGUAAGGUGCUGUCAAUUUUUCUAGAGUGCCUUUGGAUUUCCUCUUGAGUUUAGCUACUGGAAAUUUAAGUAGGUGAUGAUGUACCUUUGGAGCAAGCUUUGGAAGUUGAGGAAGACCCAGCCCCUAGUGCUUAGGAUUUCUACUAGCUCUUAAUUUAAAUAGCUCUUUAUUUUGAAAGACUUCUAGCCUUCAUUUUAUCAUGAUUUGUAUUUUGGAAACACUCUUUAGGUCCCAUUGAAC